UACGUAGGGUGCAAGCGUUGUCCGGAAUUAUUGGGCGUAAAGAGCUCGUAGGCGGUCUGUCGCGUCGGCUGUGAAAACUCGGGGCUCAACUCCGAGCUUGCAGUCGAUACGGGCAGGCUAGAGUUCGGCAGGGGAGACUGGAAUUCCUGGUGUAGCGGUGAAAAUGCGCAGAUAUCAGGAGGAACACCGGUGCGAAGGCGGGUCUCUGGGCCGAUACUGACACUGAGGAGCGAAAAGCGUGGGGGGAGCGAACAGGA
rnacentral:rRNA from 1 species